UGCUGGCCUUCCAUCACCCCAGGUGAGACCCGGCCUGGACUUCCCCACGUCUUUCUCCCCGGUCCUACCCUGUGCCCUGGAGGACACCACGAGGCCCAGCCCGGUGCUGCUAGAGGUGUAGGACCCCCAUCCCUACUACACUCCAUCCUUUUAACUUCUCUCUUCGUGGGUUGCUUGCUUUCCUCAAAACGACAGCUUGACCACUUCCCCCUUCACUCUGCAAAUGGAAACCAACUGACAGAAACUUCUUUCACUUCCCCCGACCAAAGCUAUUCCCUUAGCAACGUCUGGAAUGAUAAUAGCUGAGCGAGCUUACAAUGACCCAGCCUUGCCCUAAAUGCUUCACCGGCCAACUCACUUCAUCUACCAUUUGGCCUUUUCCACUUUAACCAACAAACAGCAGGCACAGAGAGAUUAAGUGACUGGACUGGACUAGUCAUGGGCAGAACUGGGAUACGAUCUCGGGCAGACUGAAUUCAGAGGGCCCAGCACCUGUUACGGUUCCUAGAACAGAAAACAGAUGCAAGGAGCCCCAGUAGGGAUUGAGGUAUUGAUUUUAUUCCUGACAACAGUGCAAGUGCCCAUGGACCCUUGAAGUGGCUGGCCCUGCAAUGCCAGAUUACAGAAUGUACCUGGACCUUCUGAAGCCUCCAAACCAGACCUGUAUGAGUGGACAGGAAGGCCUGGCCUGACUUACAGUGUCUGUCAAGGUUCUCCAGACCAACAGAGUCAAUAGGAUGUGUACAUAUUUAUAUAGAGAGAUUUCUUAUAAGGAGUUGGCUCAUUCUAUUAUGGAAGCUGGCAAGUCCAAGAUCUAUAGGGUGGGCUGGCAGCCUGGAGACCUAGGGAAGAGCCAAUGCUGCAAUUCCAGUCUAAAGGCCAUCUGCUGACAGAGUUCCUUCUGCGUGGGAUGGUCAGUCUUUUUGUUCUAGGCAGGCUUUCCACUGAUUAGAUGAGGCCCACCCGUAUUAUGGUGGAUAAUCUGUUUUACUCAUGGUCUCCUAAUUUAAAUGUUAAUCUCAUCCAAUAGCACAAUCACAGAAACAUUCAGAAUGAUGUUUGACCAAAUAUCUGGGGACAGUGGCCCAGCCAAGUUGGCACAGAAUCACACUCACCUAGGCUCAGGUAUCAAAACUGGGGAAUGAUCCCCUUUCUCCGGCCAGAGGUCUAGGUGGCAGAGAAGACCCAUGACAUGUUGGCUGGAGGUGGAGAGCUCAUUCUCUUUGAAGUUUGACAUCAUCAGAGGCUCAGACACAGUUGCUGAACACAGUGUACUUGGGAACUUGGUCUAACACGAGGCUGUCCCUGGCCCAGGAGGGUGAGACACUGAACUGUAGAAUGCUGGCGCUGGAACAGGGCAGGAGUUUGUCUUCUCCCCAGGUUGACCCUCAUCUGCUUAUUUUUCAGAUAAAAUUUCAACCCAGACUUUUUUCCCCGCAUUGUUUCCAUGAUCCUUGGAUAAUGAGGACCGUUUUCCAUAUGCCGGGGUGGGAAAAGCCUCCCUAAGCAAGACACAAAAUGACAAAGGAAAAGACUCAUAACUGACCACUAAAAAUUUGAUAAUUUUGCAUGGCAGUCUGAUAAAAAGCACACAACUCACUGGGUGCAAAUCUGGGUAGCAUUUAUAGUUGCUAAAGGUCAGUAACUAUGACAUAUAGAAGCACAUUCAAAUCGUGAAGAAAAAGAAAAGUAACUCAGUGGCAAAAUUGGUAAAAUUUGUGGCUGGUGAAUUCACAGAAGAAAAAGGGGAACAAGGGUGGAAGAGUGGUUCACAAACCUGUGAAAAGGCGCUGACACUUAAUCUGAGGAAUGCAAAAUAGAACUUCAAAACACCAUUUCAACCCACAGCCUGCCAGAGACUGGAGAUAACAUCCAGUACCAGUUCAGGUACAAGUAAAUGCACACUCGCGCACACAUUUUCUCUCUCUCGGAGAUACGGCUCAGCACAGCGUAGCCAAGUGAAAAUGUGUGUGUCUUUGAACACAGCAAUUCCACGUCCAGGGAUAGAAACCUGCCCCACGGAAGUGUUCACACAUGCUCACACAGAACCGCCUGCAAGUAGUUUGCUGAAGGAUUGUCGUAGAAAAAUUGGAAAUAUUGCCAUUACUGUGAAUAACAGCUAAUCCUUACAGAAAGUCUUCUCUGGGUCAGAACUUGCCUAAGCACUUUACAUAAAUGAACUCACUUAAUCCCCCGUGACAACCCUGUAAGUGCUUUUAUUAGCCUCAUUGUGCAGAGAAGGACACGAAACGGGGAAGAAGCGGUUUAUUCCUGGCCUCGAGCUCGCGGGACGCAGAAUUGCUGUGUGAUGUGACCCCGGGCGGUCUGGCAAGGAGCCUGUGCUCCGCAUCGCUUGCUGUACCGCCUGCAUCCAGUAUAGGAGAGCUUAAAUAAAUCGUAGA